rnacentral:rRNA from 1 species
GGAGCUAACGCGUUAAGUAGACCGCCUGGGGAGUACGGCCGCAAGGUUAAAACUCAAAUGAAUUGACGGGGGCCCGCACAAGCGGUGGAGCAUGUGGUUUAAUUCGAUGCAACGCGAAGAACCUUACCUGGUCUUGACAUCCACGGAAGUUUUCAGAGAUGAGAAUGUGCCUUCGGGAACCGUGAGACAGGUGCUGCAUGGCUGUCGUCAGCUCGUGUUGUGAAAUGUUGGGUUAAGUCCCGCAACGAGCGCAACCCUUAUCCUUUGUUGCCAGCGGUUAGACCGGGAACUCAAAGGAGACUGCCAGUGAUAAACUGGAGGAAGGUGGGGAUGACGUCAAGUCAUCAUGGCCCUUACGACCAGGGCUACACACGUGCUACAAUGGCGCAUACAAAGAGAAGCGACCUCGCGAGAGCA